rnacentral:rRNA from 1 species
ACGGGAGGCAGCAGUGGGGAAUAUUGGGCAAUGGGCGAAAGCCUGACCCAGCAACGCCGCGUGAGGGAAGAAGGUUCUCGGAUUGUAAACCUCUGUCCUAAGAGAAAAGGGGAAGAUGGUAUCUUAGGAGGAAGCCCCGGCUAACUACGUGCCAGCAGCCGCGGUAAUACGUAGGGGGCGAGCGUUGUCCGGAAUGAUUGGGCGUAAAGGGCGUGUAGGCGGCCUUGUAAGUCUGGAGUGAAAGUCCUGUUUUCAAGAUGGGAAUUGCUUUGGAUACUGCAGGGCUUGAGUGCAGGAGAGGUUAUCGGAAUUCCCGGUGUAGCGGUGAAAUGCGUAGAGAUCGGGAGGAACACCAGUGGCGAAGGCGGGUAACUGGACUGCAACUGACGCUGAGACGCGAAAGUGUGGGGAGCAAACAGGAUUAGAUACCCUGGUA